rnacentral:lncRNA from 1 species
GCAAACAUUAGAUCACAUCAACAAGACCAUGCAGAACUUCGCGUGACAACAAAGGCUUCUGGGAACCCAGACUCGGCCCCAAAGAAAAGAGAAACCCUGAGCACAGGCAGUGAGCCAGAGCGCUGGGAGCCUCACAGCCAGACUCAGGGGAUGCACACAGCCUUCAGCCCCACAGCACAAAAGAGCACCCCAAGGACAACACCCACCCAGCAACACACACAGACUCUCAGAACCAUCAUCCCGAAGCACCACCUCACAGGGCGGUUGUUGGACCCCAGACUGCACACCCCAAGUCCCCUUUCUGGGCCUUUGUUGUCCACCAGCCACUUCAGCAAAAGACUGCAGUGGGCCCACGGGGGGAUCUCAUCAUGGCGACCGACAAAAGGGAAAGCAUUAACCUGCGAAAAAGCCACAGACCAGGAAACGCUGCAGGACAGGCUCAUGACACCCCAAGUGCACGGGGCUGCUCACCCCCCAGGGCUGCCUCAGAUUUUGUACAAUCCCCGAAGCGUCCUCUGCGUAUGUGUGCCGUCCAUGUGUGUGUGGGAGUGAGUGCGAACACCACAAGAAAAAUGCACCCAGAAACACAACCUCUGACAGAA